AGGGCGGUAUCUAGUGUGAACUGCACCUGUUAGAAAUUUCGGUAAACUUAAAUUCAAUAUGAUCUGCCUUGAUCUUUACUAAAAGACAGGGACGGAGGA
rfam:Sporosarcina psychrophila strain DSM 6497, complete genome.